rnacentral:rRNA from 1 species
CUAGCAGUGAGGAAGGUGGAUAUGUUAUAGCAUAUUCAUUUGACGUUUAGCUGCAGAAGAAGCACCGGCUAACUCCGUGCCAGCAGCCGCGGUAAUACGGAGGGUGCGAGCGUUAAUCGGAAUUACUGGGCGUAAAAGCGCAUGCAGGUGGUUUGUUAAGUCAGAUGUGAAAGCCCGGGGCUCAACCUCGGAAUUGCAUUUGAAAACUGGCAAACUAGAGUACUGUAGAGGGGGUAGAAUUUCAGGUGUAGCGGUGAAAUGCGUAGAGAUCUGAAGGAAUACCGGUGGCGAAGGCGGCCCCCUGGACAGAUACUGACACUCAGAUGCGAAAGCGUGGGGAGCAAACAGGAUUAGAUACCCUGGUAG